GUCGGAGGAAGCUCGCCUUAGAGGCCACGUGCUGGGUGCGCGUCACCCACCCGCCUCUGGGAAGGUCUGAGACAAGGGCCAGUAGCCGCCCUUGCAGGGCGCCACCCCACGCGGGUGGGGGAGUCCCCAGGCAGGUGGGCCCCGCGGCGGGGUCGCAGCUUCGGGCAGGAGAAGUGGGGCGUCUACCCUUGUGGCAGCCCCCACGGAUGCCCUGCCCCGCUCGGGGCUUGGGACAGACUCCCGGCCGGCAACGCUGAGUGCAAUGAGGUGAGAUGGGACAUGCCCCACAACCCAAUUCAGACUAGUCUCCUUCCGGC
rnacentral:RNase_P_RNA from 1 species